rnacentral:misc_RNA from 1 species
GAUGAAGAACGUAGCGAAAUGCGAUAAGUAGUGUGAAUUGCAGAAUUCAGUGAAUCAUCGAAUCUUUGAACGCACAUUGCGCCCUUUGGUAUUCCUUAGGGCAUGCCUGUUCGAGCGUCAUUUGAAACCUCAAGCUCAGCUUGGUGUUGGGUGUCUGUCCCCGCCUCACCGCGGGGACUCGCCUCAAAAUCAUUGGCGGCCGGUACGUUGGCUUCGAGCGCAGCAGAAACGCGAACUCGAGGCCCGGCGGAUCGGCGACCAGAAGUCACUUCUUCACAGUUUGACCUCGGAUCAGGUAGGGAUACCCGCUGAACUUAAGCAUAUCAAUAAGCGGAGGA